rnacentral:rRNA from 1 species
AGUCAAUAGAUACCCGGGUAGUCCACGCCGUAAACGAUGAGUACUAGGUGUAGGAGGUAUCGACUCCUUCUGUGCCGCAGUUAAACACAAUAAGUACUCCGCCUGGGAAGUACGGUCGCAAGAUUAAAACUCAAAGGAAUUGACGGGGGCCCGCACAAGCAGCGGAGCAUGUGGUUUAAUUCGAAGCAACGCGAAGAACCUUACCUAGACUUGACAUCUCCUGAAUAGCGCAGAGAUGCGUGAAGCCCUUCGGGGCAGGAAGACAGGUGGUGCAUGGUUGUCGUCAGCUCGUGUCGUGAGAUGUUGGGUUAAAGUCCCGCAACGAGCGCAACCCCUAUUAUUAGUUGCUACCAUUAAGUUGAGCACUCUAAUGAGACUGCCCGGGUUAACCGGGAGGAAGGCGGGGAUGACGUCAAAUCAUCAUGCCCCUUAUGUCUAGGGCUACACACGUGCUACAAUGGUGAGAACAACGAGAUGCAAUACCGCGAGG